AGAGUGCUUCAUUCAGGCAGGUGAUGAGGUUCUUCUGUCAGGAGAUCCAAAACGGAGACGCACAGGGGACACAUUAUCAAACCAGCACCAAGGACCAUACACUGUGGCCAGCAUCACACCGAAGGGGGUGGCCACUAUUGUGAAGGGAUCAACUUGCCAGAGGGUCAACAUGUCCAGGCUGAGGAACUACCACCGAUCAAAGAAUCCAUCAACGGAGAGGAAGUUUCCCCUGGACCACGCAUAUGUGACUUCUGAAUGGGAGAUGGAUCAUCUUUAUGCCAGUCGUGGAGCAAAGUGGCACAAAGACUUGGACCCUCUUCAGUCCAGUCUGCUGGAGUAUGUCUUGGACCAAAACCGUCCUCCAGGGGAGCUCUUAGUGAAGGAGGGCAAUACCUGCCUCACUCGGGAGGACUUCUGGAGCCUGGGUUUGGCGCAAUGCAUGGAAUCCACUAUUGGGAAUGCUUGUCUGAAGAUUGUGGGGGAAGCUGCAAAAAGACAUGUGAUCUAUAGGAAAAGAUGUUCACAUUGCUGACCUCUAUGCUGUGGCCACCUGGAAGGAUCAACAAGUCGACCUGCUGCGCUGCUUGCCUGAUGACUUUAGGUCCAAAGACAUCCUGCUGUUUCCAGCUUGGAGCAGGCAGGCGGGUGGAACUGACCACUAUCUGCUCUGUAUCGGUAGCGGCCUUCAUUGACCCCGGAUCCUAGACCGAAAAAAUGGGAAGAGACCUCGAGUUGUUUCCUCAUCAGUCCUCUGGAAAUUGCUGUGGCAUCUUCAUGCUGAUGUACGCUCUCUGCAUCUGCACCUCGUCUCCGCUGACAUUCACAGAGUGGGAAAUGCCAGCAAUUCGG